CCAUUUAAGUUAGUGGGGUUAGGUAGUUUAUAAGUUUUAAAAGAACAGACAACAACUUACGUUAGUUCAUUCAUCAUAUUCAAACAACAGACAGUCAGAAAAACUUAAUAUCAGGGAAGAAGAAAGACAGAUGAGAGGGAAAGAUAUUGCUGAUUAAGGCUACUAAGAGGAUUUUCGGAUUUGCUACUUGAAAGUAAAAUUUACGAGAUCAAGUUGUGAUUUGGUCAACCACGCGGGAACUUUGGGGAGUGAUGUUUAAUUUAGUAAGACUUAAAUUAUCUAGGAUUUAUUUAAAUAUUAUGAACAUCGUACUAUCUUAAUUAGUAUUCAGACUUUUAUCUUGACUUAGUAGCUUUAUGGUUUUGGAGAUUUAAUUUUGAAUAUUGUCGAAUUAUGAUAUUUGGAAAUUCUGUCAACAGAUAUAGUUUAUAAAUCACUAAAUUCUUCAGGUA